rnacentral:lncRNA from 1 species
AAUUAGAAAUCCAAAGUUUUUUAAAGGAACCCAACAUGUCAGAAUGACUCAGUAAAACUCAUGGGUAAGUAAAGAUAUCGAUAGGAAUUGGAAUGAGUCUACUCAACUCAACAAUACUUGGAACAAGUUACAAGAACCACCACAACUCAGUGGUGUGCUAACAAUGAAAUCUUCACAGCUCAAUGAAAACACAAGAUUUUUUUAGAUCAAAAGCUUGUCACAAAGUUUUUCAAAGAAAAUUUCAAGAAUCCUCAAGAACAUAAGCCGAUCGUACAAGAUUUUUCAGAUCUCACCUAGAAAGACACAAUAUCUCAAAAGGAUCCAACUACCAGUUGAAUCGAAGGUAGAUCGCAAUAUUCAUUUAAGAAAAACACAAUUUGUUUUCACAAAGACUUCAGAAAUUUCAUGAUUUCCAAAAAAUAGCAAUGUUUGAAACUUGGGCUUCAAAAAUCAAACCUAAACCCCCUUUUGAAAACAACCUCUCUGAUACCACUUGUUGGUCCCAAAAGAGUGUGUCAAAACAUUCAGCAAUACCAAUCGAUUACAUAAAAGUAAAUCACAGAAAUUAAAGAAUCAACACAAAGGAAUUUUCACCGACUAAGGGUUCUGAAUGUUUAAGAGAUCUAAACUCUUGUGACCCGUUGAGCAUCUCCAAGUAGAUAUUGUUCUACAUCUACUAAAAUCAAUUAAGAGCAGUACGUACAAAUAUUCAUAGAAAUCAAAGCUUUCUUCAAUGUUUGCUCACGCUUCCCUAAGUUGAUUCACCACAGUAAACUUAUCAUCAACCUCUCAACAACGUAUACUCAGUACAUCAAAGAAUAUCACUCAAAGAUUACAAGAGAAGAUCACACAAUCGAGAGAGAAAACCAACAGAUGAAAACCCUUACCAAAACUCAUACAGUGGAG